rnacentral:rRNA from 1 species
GGUACUCGAGCGGCGAACGGGUGAGUAACACGUGAGCAACCUGCCCCAGGCUUUGGGAUAACCCCGGGAAACCGGGGCUAAUACCGAAUAUGACUGCUGAUCGCAUGGUUGGUGGUGGAAAGUUUUUCGGCUUGGGAUGGGCUCGCGGCCUAUCAGCUUGUUGGUGGGGUGAUGGCCUACCAAGGCGACGACGGGUAGCCGGCCUGAGAGGGCGACCGGCCACACUGGGACUGAGACACGGCCCAGACUCCUACGGGAGGCAGCAGUGGGGAAUAUUGCACAAUGGGCGGAAGCCUGAUGCAGCGACGCCGCGUGAGGGAUGACGGCCUUCGGGUUGUAAACCUCUUUCAGCAGGGACGAAGCGCAAGUGACGGUACCUGCAGAAGAAGCGCCGGCCAACUACGUGCCAGCAGCCGCGGUAAGACGUAGGGCGCGAGCGUUGUCCGGAUUUAUUGGGCGUAAAGAGCUCGUAGGCGGCUUGUCGCGUCGACUGUGAAAACCCGCAGCUCAACUGCGGGCCUGCAGUCGAUACGGGCAGGCUAGAGUUCGGUAGGGGAGACUGGAAUUCCUGGUGUAGCGGUGAAAUGCGCAGAUAUCAGGAGGAACACCGGUGGCGAAGGCGG